UACGAAGGGGGCUAGCGUUGUUCGGAAUCACUGGGCGUAAAGGGCGCGUAGGCGGCUGUUCAAGUCGGGGGUGAAAUCCUGUGGCUCAACCACAGAAUGGCCUUCGAUACUGGACGGCUAGAGACCGGAAGAGGUGAGUGGAACUGCGAGUGUAGAGGUGAAAUUCGUAGAUAUUCGCAAGGACACCAGUGGCGAAGGCGGCUCACUGGUCCGGUUCUGACGCUGAGGCGCGAAAGCGUGGGGAGCAAACAGG
rnacentral:rRNA from 1 species